AUAAACGCUGGCGGCGUGCAUGAGACAUGCAAGUCGAACGAAGGAUCGGGCUUGCUCGAUCCUUAGUGGCGGCCGGCUGAGUAACGCGUAGGUGACCUACCCCGAAGUGGGGAAUAACUGCCCGAAAGGGUGGCUAAUACCGCAUGUGGUCGCACGUUCAUUCGUGCGAGUAAAGCCGCAAGGCGCUUCGGGAGGGGCCUGCGUCCGAUUAGCUCGUUGGUGGGGUAAUGGCUUACCAAGGCGACGAUCGGUAGGUGGUCUGAGAGGACGAUCACCCAGACUGGGACUGAGACACAGCCCAGACUCCUACGGGAGGCAGCAGUCGGGAAUUUUGCUCAAUGGGGGAAACCCUGAAGCAGCAACGCCGCGUGAGGGAUGAAGGCCUUCGGGUUGUAAACCUCUUUUGUCAGGGACGAUGAUGACGGUACCUGGCGAAUAAGCCACGGCUAACUACGUG
rnacentral:rRNA from 1 species